CCUACGGGUGGCAGCAGUCGAGAAUCAUUCACAAUGGGGGAAACCCUGAUGGUGCGACGCCGCGUGGGGGAAUGAAGGUCUUCGGAUUGUAAACCCCUGUCAUGUGGGAGCAAAUUAAAAAGAUAGUACCACAAGAGGAAGAGACGGCUAACUCUGUGCCAGCAGCCGCGGUAAUACAGAGGUCUCAAGCGUUGUUCGGAAUCACUGGGCGUAAGGCGUGCGUAGGCUGUUUCGUAAGUCGUGUGUGAAAGGCGCGGGCUCAACCCGCGGACGGCACAUGAUACUGCGAGACUAGAGUAAUGGAGGGGGAACCGGAAUUUUCGGUGUAGCAGUGAAAUGCGUAGAUAUCGAGAGGAACACUCGUGGCGAAGGCGGGUUCCUGGACAUUAACUGACGCUGAGGCACGAAGGCCAGGGGAGCGAAAGGGAUUAGAUACCCGUGUAGUC
rnacentral:rRNA from 1 species